rnacentral:rRNA from 1 species
AUAGUUCUUCGGAAUUAGAGACCGGCGCACGGGUGCGUAACGCGUAUGCAAUCUACCUUUCACAAAGGGAUAGCCCAGAGAAAUUUGGAUUAAUACCUUAUAGUAAUACGACUUGGCAUCAAGAUGUAUUUAAAGAUUUAUCGGUGAAAGAUGAGCAUGCGUCCCAUUAGCUUGUUGGUAAGGUAACGGCUUACCAAGGCAACGAUGGGUAGGGGUCCUGAGAGGGAGAUCCCCCACACUGGUACUGAGACACGGACCAGACUCCUACGGGAGGCAGCAGUGAGGAAUAUUGGACAAUGGGCGCAAGCCUGAUCCAGCCAUGCCGCGUGCAGGAUGACGGUCCUAUGGAUUGUAAACUGCUUUUGUACAGGAAGAAACCCUUUCACGUGUGGAAGAUUGACGGUACUGUAAGAAUAAGGAUCGGCUAACUCCGUGCCAGCAGCCGCGGUAAUACGGAGGAUCCAAGCGUUAUCCGGAAUCAUUGGGUUUAAAGGGUCCGUAGGCGGUCAGGUAAGUCAGUGGUGAAAGCCCAUCGCUCAACGGUGGAACGGCCAUUGAUACUGCUUGACUUGAAUUAUUAGGAAGUAACUAGAAUAUGUAGUGUAGCGGU